UGCCAGCCGCCGCGGUAAUACGGAGGAUGCAAGCGUUAUCCGGAUUCAUUGGGUUUAAAGGGUGCGCAGGCGGGUUUGUAAGUCAGUGGUGAAAUCCCGCCGCUUAACGGUAGAAUUGCCAUUGAUACUGCGAAUCUUGAGUAUGGUUGAGGUAGGCGGAAUGUGUAGUGUAGCGGUGAAAUGCAUAGAUAUUACACAGAACACCAAUUGCGAAGGCAGCUUACCAAACUAUUACUGACGCUCAGGGACGAAAGCGUGGGGAGCGAACAGGAUUAGAUA
rnacentral:rRNA from 1 species